ACUAGUUCCAAAUAAGGUCAUAUUCACAGGCACGGGGGUUAGGAUUUUCAAUAGAUGUGUUUGGGGACACAAUUCAACCCAAACUAGAUGCUAUCAGAAAAAUGAAGGAGGAAAAUUCAUUAUGACAUGUGUGUAGGUGGGGAAUAGGGGUCAGAUGCAUUUAAAUAGAGUAGCCAAAAUAAGUCUCAAUGAAAGGAAGUAUUUGCAUAAAGAUCUGAAGACAAGGGAGCCAGCCUGUGGAUGGUCGCACAAGAGCAUAUGCAAAGACUCUGUGGAAUAUGCCAGACGUGUUCAAAGAAAAGCAAGGAGGCCAGCAUGGCUGGUGCAGAUGAACAAGGGGUAAAGUGGUAGGAGAUGAGUUCUGAGAAGUUAUAAAGGAGCCAGAUCAUAUGCAGACUUUGGGUUUUAUUCCAAGUAAUGUCGGAUACCCUUGGAAGAUUUUGAUCAGAAGAUAACAUGAUCUGGCUUCUAUCUUAACAGGACCUUUCCAGCCACUGUUAAAAAUAUAUAGUGGAAGAGAAUGGAAGCAGGGAUUCAGCUUAUAAGGCUUUUGAAAUAAUCCUGGUGAGAGAUGAUGAUGGAUUGGCAGUGGAGAUGAUCAUCAACCUAGAAGAGAAACCGUGAAAGGAUGGAGGGAAAUCUGGGCACUGUUUGGGCUCUGUGUUCAGAGACAAGGUACUUCCUACAGUUGGGCUGCAGCAGUUUUUAGAAGAUGACUAGAGCUCUAACAAGAACACCGAGCUUUGUCAAAGACACCGUCUGGAAGAGAACAUUCUCGCUUUCAUGAAGAGCUCUGUUUCAGCACAAGAUUACAUAUACAUGUUAAAAGGUUCUAUCAGCUAGCCUGGGCAGGCAGAGUUUCUCUUGCUGUACUAAACUUACCUCUCGCAGUGCCAGCCUCACUAACAUUAAGAAACCCAGUCAGGGUUUGGAUGGAAGGAAAUCUCAGACAGGUGUAAUGUUUCCUUGUAGUUGGAGAAGCAAAAUAGAUUCUGCAAAUAAACUUCUUGUUUGUUUCUCCUGGAGAUGAUUUGCCAGUAGGGCUGACAUAAGCAAAUAAUUUCUCCUGCAAAUCCCAUGCUCUGAUUGUGAAGGAAAGGCUUAUAGAAUUAAAAUCCUGUAACUGUUGUCCCUUAAAGCACGAAUGCUUUUAUUUAUAGUCUGGUUUAGGAAAUGUUUUACAAGUGUGAUUUGUGUUUAUAUUUAAAUACCCUGGCCACCCCCACAUAUAAUGUGAUCAAACUUACUGAAAAAGAUUCAUGUAGCAAUAUUUAUACCACAGGCAGAAAAAGGCUACAGAAGCUCAUAAAUAUUAACUUGCCAGUGUAGAAAUACAA